GGGGUGGGGGGGCUACCAUGCAAGUCGAGCGGAUGAAGGGAGCUUGCUCCUGGAUUCAGCGGCGGACGGGUGAGUAAUGCCUAGGAAUCUGCCUGGUAGUGGGGGAUAACGUCCGGAAACGGGCGCUAAUACCGCAUACGUCCUGAGGGAGAAAGUGGGGGAUCUUCGGACCUCACGCUAUCAGAUGAGCCUAGGUCGGAUUAGCUAGUUGGUGGGGUAAAGGCCUACCAAGGCGACGAUCCGUAACUGGUCUGAGAGGAUGAUCAGUCACACUGGAACUGAGACACGGUCCAGACUCCUACGGGAGGCAGCAGUGGGGAAUAUUGGACAAUGGGCGAAAGCCUGAUCCAGCCAUGCCGCGUGUGUGAAGAAGGUCUUCGGAUUGUAAAGCACUUUAAGUUGGGAGGAAGGGCAGUAAGUUAAUACCUUGCUGUUUUGACGUUACCAACAGAAUAAGCACCGGCUAACUUCGUGCCAGCAGCCGCGGUAAUACGAAGGGUGCAAGCGUUAAUCGGAAUUACUGGGCGUAAAGCGCGCGUAGGUGGUUCAGCAAGUUGGAUGUGAAAUCCCCGGGCUCAACCUGGGAACUGCAUCCAAAACUACUGAGCUAGAGUACGGUAGAGGGUGGUGGAAUUUCCUGUGUAGCGGUGAAAUGCGUAGAUAUAGGAAGGAACACCAGUGGCGAAGGCGACCACCUGGACUGAUACUGACACUGAGGUGCGAAAGCGUGGGGAGCAAACAGGAUUAGAUACCCUGGUAGUCCACGCCGUAAACGAUGUCGACUAGCCGUUGGGAUCCUUGAGAUCUUAGUGGCGCAGCUAACGCGAUAAGUCGACCGCCUGGGGAGUACGGCCGCAAGGUUAAACUCAAAUGAAUUGACGGGGGCCGCACAAGCGGUGGAGCAUGUGGUUUAAUUCGAACAACCCGAAGAACCUUACCUGGCCUUGACUGCUGAGACUUUCCAAAAAGGAUGGUGCUUCGGAACU
rnacentral:rRNA from 1 species